UACGUAGGGUGCAAGCGUUAAUCGGAAUUACUGGGCGUAAAGCGUGCGCAGGCGGUGAUGUAAGACAGGUGUGAAAUCCCCGGGCUCAACUUGGGAACUGCAUUGGAAACUGGCCAGCUGGAGUGUGGCAGAGGGGGGUGGAAGUUCCGCGUGUAGCAGUGAAAUGCGUAGAGAUGCGGAGGAACACCGAUGGCGAAGGCAGCCCCCUGGGCCAACACUGACGCUCAGGCACGAAAGCGUGGGGAGCAAACAGG
rnacentral:rRNA from 1 species